UUUUGCGUAAUUGUGACUAUUUUCGACCGUUUGAAAGUAUGUUGGACGCGCAAAUUCGGGAUGAAUAUCCAGAACUCUCUGAUGAUGAGGUCACCUCUAAAAGAGACGAAGAUUUUCAUUUAUGGAUUCGCCAAUACGUGGAAGCAACGAGAAGUCAUCAAAAUUUUCCUCCAUGGGUUCAUGAACUAGUGGAAGGUCCUGAAAACAAAGUCAAGUCAUGGCCCAUGUAUUUUACUAGAGGAUAUAUGUUUCACACGCGGAAUCAUGGGCGCACAAGAAAGACAAUGAAUUAUGGG